GGUGGAGGGUGCUAUUCUCCCUACGUCACAGGAGCAGUGGCUUAUUAGUCCAAAAGAAGCAUCCCCGAACCUAAAAAUAUGAUAUGCAACCUAUGCGUAGAUGAGGACUGAACUUGAGGAGGUUAAGAAAAGGCUUGUCAUAGCUAAGAACCUUCUAAAUUCAUUGCUCAAAUAGGGGGACAUUGCAAAUAAAGAAAAGGACGA
rnacentral:lncRNA from 1 species